rnacentral:rRNA from 1 species
CCUACGGGUGGCAGCAGUGAGGAAUAUUGGUCAAUGGACGAGAGUCUGAACCAGCCAAGUAGCGUGAAGGAUGACUGCCCUAUGGGUUGUAAACUUCUUUUAUAUGGGAAUAAAAUGUUCCACGUGUGGGAUUUUGUAUGUACCAUAUGAAUAAGGAUCGGCUAACUCCGUGCCAGCAGCCGCGGUAAUACGGAGGAUCCGAGCGUUAUCCGGAUUUAUUGGGUUUAAAGGGAGCGUAGGUGGAUUGUUAAGUCAGUUGUGAAAGUUUGCGGCUCAACCGUAAAAUUGCAGUUGAAACUGGCAGUCUUGAGUACCGGAGAAGUACGCGGAAUGCGUGGUGUAGCGGUGAAAUGCAUAGAUAUCACGCAGAACCCCGAUUGCGAAGGCAGCGUACCGGCCGGUCACUGACGCUGAGGCACGAAAGCGCGGGUAUCGAACAGGAUUAGAUACCCGAGUAGUC